rnacentral:rRNA from 1 species
CCCUUAGAUGUUCUGGGCUGCACACGUGCUACACUGGCAGGUUCAGCGAGCUUCAUGCCCUGAUCUGAAAGGAAUGGGAAAUCUUUUCAAAACCUGCCGUGCUUGGGAUAGAUGUUUGCAAUUAUUCAUCUUCAACGAGGAUUGCCUUGUAAGCGCACGUCAUCAGCGUGCAUUGAAUACGACCCUGUAUUCUGUACACACCGCCCGUCGCUCCUACCGAUUGAACGUUUUAGUGAGGCAUUUGGACCGACGCAUCUCAGUUUAACCGCUGGUUUGUGUUGGAAAGACUUCCAAACUUGAGCGUUUAGAGGAAGUAAAAGUCGUAACA